UAUCCGAAAGACUCUCGGCAACGGAUAUCUCGGCUCUUGCAUCGAUGAAGAACGUAGCGAAAUGCGAUACUUGGUGUGAAUUGCAGAAUCCCGUGAACCAUCGAGUCUUUGAACGCAAGUUGCGCCCGAAGCCAUUAGGCUGAGGGCACGCCUGCCUGGGUGUUGCAC
rnacentral:rRNA from 2 species